GCGCUCGUAGCUCAGCUGGAUUAGAGUACCUGGCUACGAAACCAGGCGGUCAGAGGUUCGAAUCCUCUCGAGCGCGCCA
rnacentral:tRNA from 1 species